GAUGAACGCUGGCGGCGUGCCUAAUACAUGCAAGUCGAGCGAACAGAUAAGGAGCUUGCUCCUUUGACGUUAGCGGCGGACGGGUGAGUAACACGUGGGUAACCUACCUAUAAGACUGGAAUAACUCCGGGAAACCGGGGCUAAUGCCGGAUAACAUUUAGAACCGCAUGGUUCUAAAGUGAAAGAUGGUUUUGCUAUCACUUAUAGAUGGACCCGCGCCGUAUUAGCUAGUUGGUAAGGUAACGGCUUACCAAGGCAACGAUACGUAGCCGACCUGAGAGGGUGAUCGGCCACACUGGAACUGAGACACGGUCAAGACUCCUACGGGAGGCAGCAGUAGGGAAUCUUCCGCAAUGGGCGAAAGCCUGACGGAGCAACGCCGCGUGAGUGAUGAAGGUCUUCGGAUCGUAAAACUCUGUUAUUAGGGAAGAACAAAUGUGUAAGUAACUGUGCACGUCUUGACGGUACCUAAUCAGAAAGCCACGGCUAACUACGUG
rnacentral:rRNA from 1 species